GCUCACCUGCUCAUAUAAAAAGGAGGGCGUUCGUUCGAAAAGGGCCCGAAAGAAAAACUCUGCAGAAAUCUCAAAAAAGGAAUCUUACCAUCAUGCCGUGAAUUACGUCUUUCAUCCCUAACAGAGAGGGCAUCAUUGUUGAAAAAGAGAAGUCUCGGCAACGGAACUCUGUGCAAGGCGUGUUAGCCCAGUAGCACACCUUCAUCAAGUGGAACUAGCGAGUAAGCAGAAGAACGAAAAGAGGAAGGAGAGGACUCAGAGAAAGUAGAAAAGUUUCAAACAGUAAAGAGGGAAGAAAGGUACUUACCCAAGAUCCGAUUCCACUUCCCAAGCUCGCCGGAAACGUUGUUUUCCAGUAAGGAAGGGCAUGAUCUCCAUUGAUCUAUCAAGUUCACAUCUAGGGUUUGAGACCCGCAUGAACAAAGAGCACAACCAAUAAUUGAUCCAAGAAUGGUGAUGAGCAUCAUAUAUGAGUCCCAAUGUUCUCUACAUGUUAUAUUGAUCAAGCUUUCUUCAAGAGUUUGAGGGUGAUUUGCCUUGGAAACCCUAGUUUGACUGGGUAUCUUGAGUAAAUUCUCCAACAAGCUAUCUAACCAAUUGGUCAAAUUUCUCAAGGGACACUUCAAAAUUCAUCAUCUUAUGCAUAUAUGAUCUACCAUGAGCCUAUAAAGUCAAGAGAAUUAGAAGUUAGCAAGUUGGUUGAUGGUGGUUGGCCAGAUGAAUUCAUCUGAUCAAAACUGGGUCUGCCUAGACCCUAUCUCCUACAAUUUUCACCAUCUGAAAAUGAUUCCAAAAGAAAACUUACUCUAAAUGACAUUCCAAACACCUUUCAUGUUGAGACCUAGAGUUAGUUUUGCUUGGAGAAUCAUUUUCUAUGUUGAAACAUUAUAGGUCAUUUUGUCUAAACCCUAAUUUGAAAGUCAACUUCCCAAGGCCAUAACUUACUCAAUUUUUAUGAGAUGAAAGAUUUCCAAGUUGCACAAUUAAAUUCAAUGAUUCCACUUCAACUUUGAUGUUUGGAGUGGGAGCUAACUCAACAUUUUUGAGCAUGUGAUAUGAGGUUACAUUAUAGGUCACUUUUGACCUAUACCAUUGAACAAGUGAUUUUUCCAAACUUCAAAAAUGUAUAACUCUAUCAUUUAAAAUCCAAAUGACAUGAAACUGGUGACCAUUUUUAAGUUCUUUGAAAGAUAUAUAACUUUGAUGAAGACAUUUUUCUCAUUUGAAGCUCAUAUAAAAAGUUAAGCAAGGUGGAAUAUUGAGACAUAUGGCUUGACACUAAGAAAAAAUUUGAUAUGUCAAAAAUUUCCAAACUUCUACCUCAAAUUUCUUCAAAUUACAAACUCCAAAUGGAAAAGUGUUGAACAUGGAAGUUAUUCCUCUUGAUCUCACCUUUCCAAAGAGCUCAAAUUCAUUCAUUUUGGACAAGGAAUGCAUAGGCUGCGCAUGACAUGAACAUGGUGUCAUCACUUGGCAAGGAUCAAAUUUCAAAUCUUCAUAAACACUUGCCUUGCAAUCCAAGUUGAAUUCAGAUCAUGUCACACUCAUUUGUGGAUUUAUGGCAAUGAUUUUAUGGGCCUAUGUGCGCCCAUGCACCCAUGCAUCAUCAAUGACCAAAUUUGGAAAGUGAAUUCAAGUGUGCAAAAAGCAAUGGAUUCAGCUAUAAAUAGAGCCUCAUAUGCUCAGCAUUUCACACACAUUCGUGUCAGCUUUGAUCCCCUAACUCUAAUCUGUCAUACCCUAAAUUUUACCCUGAGUUUUUCACUCGCAUCAGCAUAGCAUGAACUUAUCCAUUUUGUCGUGCAUUUCAUUAGUUAAAAAGCAUUUAUAAGAGUUUAGUGGAAAAGUCAUGAAUUCUGGCAUUUUAUCUGGUCUUAAUGACAUUCAUUCAAUCAUCUGUUGAUUGAGAAGUCGAAAGACUUGAUAUCUCUAUCUCAGUGCAUCAUUUAUUCUGUUGCAUCUUGUUUCAGAGAUUCAUAAGGUGAUAAUCAAGAGAGUUGUUAUCAUCUAAAUAUGUAUAGGUUUUGUUUGUGUUUGUGUUUGAGAAUGAGAAGCAAAUGGUCCAAGGGAGAUUCAUCUGCGUCUAAUUGUCUGUUCGUAUUUAUGGAGUUAGAAAUUCAGUGCAUUUACAAGACGUUUGCAUUUUUAUACUUGUCACAUCAUGUAUUUUGUUUCGCAUAGCGCUUAAAAUAGCAGUCAGAUAAUUUUUUUGGAUUCACAGACAAACCGGUCAAAUCAUUUCUCAACUGUGCAUCAAAUUGGCGGUUGAAAAUUUUCAAAAUUGAGCUUUCGGAUGUCAGUUUUCUUAAUCUCCGGUUCGCGUAGUUUAACAUCGUGCGCUCGUUUUAAUUUUUCAACUACUUUUUCAGUUGCAUUUUGAUCAAGUCUGAGCCUUUUAACCGAUCAUUUUCUUAUUUCAAAAUUUGAUCAAAACCUGUAUGUUUUCGAGAAGUUUAUUUUACACUGAUUAUUUUAAUGCGUUUAGUUUAUUUUUUCUAGCAUUUUUUCACCCGAUUUUUAUUUGAUUAUUUUUAUUUUUUAACCAAAAUAAUCGUUGGAAUUAAAAUAGAAUUUUCCACAUUUUUAUUUCGAUUUUAUUUCUGUGAUUUCAGUUUUAUUUUAAUUUGUUAACAUUUUAGUUUUUUUAAUUAAGAAAACAAAAUCAGAAAAUAUAUUUCUUCCUCCAUUAAUGCACCUCCACGUGUCCCAAAUUUUUUCUGUUAUCCAAAUGAAGUCGCGUCUCCUCUCUUUCACACCACAAGAUCUCUUUCUCUCAUGUAACUUUCCUCUCUCUCUCUUUCACAUUCUUGAAAAUGGAAAUGAUAUAACACUACUCACUCACUUCUAGAGAUAUACUCAGAAAGAAAAAAAGAGGGAGAAGACUUUUUUUCUUCAACCUCAACAUUUACAUAUUUCAUCACAUAACCUUCAACAACUCAAAAACACACACAUCUUCAACAUAACUACUCCCUCCGCCAUUUUUCCGAAUGAUCUGCAACCUUAAGCAUCAUCUCCUACCUCACUUCAAACCCAUCAUUCCAUAGCCACCCAAGGCCUCUAUGUCUCUGCUCCGUUCCGUUACCGACCACCAUCCAGACCGACAACAAUCAGUGACAACAUCGAAACGAAUCACUAUGGGUUUGUACUCUCAUUUCUCAUGAUUGAUUUAUGUUUGGAUUGAUAAAUUAUAUUAUUGUUUUGAGUAAGGAUUUGAUGUUUUAACUUGAGAGAUUAAAUAAAGGUUAUGAGAUUUGUUUUAUUUUUCUUGAAAUCUUUUAAUAUGAAGCUUUUAUGUUGUAGAAGGAAACCUUUAUGUUGUUGUAGUUUCAUUUAUCCUAUUUUUUUUUUCUUUUAAGUUCUUAAAAAGUGGCCAAGUGUAGUUAGUUUUGAAUCAUUCAAGCUUCUUUCAUUUUAAGAUGAGAAACAAGUAGGUGGAUUGGCAGUGGAGUGUCUCCUUUUUCAUUUGUUAGUUAGAUUUGUUUAUUUGUUCUAUUAUUUUGAGGGAAGUUAUCCUAGUUUUGAUUAAUUUUAUAGUUGAUAUACUUUGUGUGAUAUUUUGGUUGUAUUAACGGUUAUCCUGCUAAAAUUCUUUUGCUUAUAUUUCAUCUUGUCUGUCAAAAAAUUGCACUCAUGAGAGAAAGUGAAAAUACUAUUUCACAUUGGUUAGAUUGCUGAAAGUGCAACUUGGAAUUUUAUUGAAUAUGUUGAAGUGUAUCUUUUUAA